GUAGGUGGCAAGCGUUGUCCGGAAUUAUUGGGCGUAAAGCGCGCGCAGGUGGUUCUUUAAGUCUGAUGUGAAAGCCCCCGGCUCAACCGGGGAGGGUCAUUGGAAACUGGGGAACUUGAGUGCAGGAGAGGAAAGUGGAAUUCCACGUGUAGCGGUGAAAUGCGUAGAUAUGUGGAGGAACACCAGUGGCGAAGGCGACUUUCUGGCCUGUAACUGACACUGAGGCGCGAAAGCGUGGGGAGCAAACAGGGAUUAGAUACCCUGGUAGUCCACGCCGUAAACGAUGAGUGCUAAGUGUUGGGGGGGUUUCCCGCCCCGUCAGUGCUGCAGCUAACGCAUUAAGCACUCCGCCUGGGGAGUACGGUCGCGAGACUG
rnacentral:rRNA from 1 species